GGUCAAGUUUUUAAGAGCACACGGUGGAUGCCUUGGCAUUAGGAGCCGAAGAAGGACGUAGGAAUCUGCGAUAAGCCUGGGGGAGUCGAUAACCGGACUGUGAUCCCAGGGUGUCCGAAUGGGGAAACCCCGCCAAGCGCGCGAGUGACUUGGUGACCCGUACCUGAACACAUAGGGUGCGUGGGGGGAACGCGGGGAAGUGAAACAUCUCAGUACCCGCAGGAAGAGAAAACAAUAGUGAUUCCGUUAGUAGUGGCGAGCGAACGCGGAUCAGGCUAAACCGUUCCAUGUGUGAUAGCCGGCGGGCGUUGCAUGGUCGGGGUUGUGGGACUUUCCAUACCAGUUCUGCCGGGCUGGUGGGGUGUGAUGUGCGCGCAUAGGUGAACGGUUUUGAAAGGCCGGCCAGAGAGGGUGUUAGUCCCGUAACCGUAAUGUGUUUGUACCGCCUGUGAGAGUAUCCCAAGUAGUACGGGGCCCGAGAAAUCCCGUGCGAAUCUGUCAGGACCACCUGAUAAGCCUAAAUACUCCCUAAUGACCGAUAGCGGACCAGUACCGUGAGGGAAAGGUGAAAAGUACCCCGGGAGGGGAGUGAAACAGUACCUGAAACCGUGUGCUUACAAUCCGUCGGAGCCAGUCUGAUUCUGGUGACGGCGUGCCUUUUGAAGAAUGAGCCUGCGAGUUAGUGUUACGUCGCGAGGUUAACCCGUGUGGGGCAGCCGUAGCGAAAGCGAGUCUGAAUAGGGCGUGUGAGUGGCGUGAUCUAGACCCGAAGCGAAGUGAUCUACCCAUGGCCAGGUUGAAGCGACGGUAAGACGUCGUGGAGGACCGAACCCACUUCAGUUGAAAAUGGAGGGGAUGAGCUGUGGGUAGGGGUGAAAGGCCAAUCAAACUUCGUGAUAGCUGGUUCUCCCCGAAAUGCAUUUAGGUGCAGCGUUGCGUGUUUCUUGCUGGAGGUAGAGCUACUGGAUGGCUAAUGGGCCCUACAAGGUUACUGACGUCAGCCAAACUCCGAAUGCCGGUAAGUGAGAGCGCAGCAGUGAGACUGUGGGGGAUAAGCUUCAUAGUCGAGAGGGAAACAGCCCAGACCACCAACUAAGGCCCCUAAGCGUGUGCUAAGUGGGAAAGGAUGUGGAGUUGCCCAGACAACCAGGAGGUUGGCUUAGAAGCAGCCACCCUUAAAAGAGUGCGUAAUAGCUCACUGGUCAAGUGAUUCCGCGCCGACAAUGUAGCGGGGCUCAAGUACACCGCCGAAGUUGUGGCAUUCAGAUAUU
rnacentral:rRNA from 1 species